AAACUUUCAACAACGGAUCUCUUGGUUCUGGCAUCGAUGAAGAACGCAGCAAAAUGCGAUAAGUAAUGUGAAUUUGCAGAAUUUCAGUGAAUCAUCGAAUCUUUUGAACGCACAUUUGCGCCCGCCAGUAUUUCUGGCGGGCAUGCCUGUUCGAGCGUCAUUU
rnacentral:rRNA from 1 species